GCAGCGAGGGGGGUAUUGCAGGAUGCCUCUUCGAGCGCUCUAAUUCACUGCGGUGCUUUCAAGUACGUCCGCGGUCCUCAAGGACCGUUUUUUGUUGGACUUACCAGGUACGGCAAAGGUCGGGAAGGGGGUUAAAGAAACACUCUUAAAUUAUAACUUCUCGAUCAUGCUCUUGGGAAUACGUACUCUAACACACUGCUUUUACAAUCUGGGAUUCUUGUGACUUUGUAUUUCCUUGUUAGGCAGAUCAACUCUGGACGUUUCUGAAAUUUUACAGAACUGCUAUAACUCUCUCUCCUCAUACUAAUUUCUCUAUCUUUAAAAACACUCUUACUUGCAUUCACCAUCCAUUGGACUACAUCUCCAGAAUACCAAAAGAAUAUUCUACAAAUUGGUAAAUAUGCUGGUUUAAUUUAACUUUUACUAAAAGCAGAAAAAUACCUGGAUAAUGCUGAUCAGAUUUCAAAACUUUGGAAAUCAUAUUUAGCUGAGGAAUCAUAGGACUCAAAUUUUUAUACUGCAGCAAAAAAUGUGAUUAUAUUGAGUCGCUGGUCGUGAUGUCCCGAACGGUUCGCUGCAGAUGGCGAACAUAUGUGGUAAACUUUGACCC